rnacentral:rRNA from 1 species
GACGAACGCUGGCGGCGUGCUUAACACAUGCAAGUCGAACGGAAAGGCCCUGCUUUUGUGGGGUGCUCGAGUGGCGAACGGGUGAGUAACACGUGAGUAACCUGCCCUUGACUUUGGGAUAACUUCAGGAAACUGGGGCUAAUACCGGAUAGGAGCUCCUGCUGCAUGGUGGGGGUUGGAAAGUUUCGGCGGUUGGGGAUGGACUCGCGGCUUAUCAGCUUGUUGGUGGGGUAGUGGCUUACCAAGGCUUUGACGGGUAGCCGGCCUGAGAGGGUGACCGGCCACAUGGGGACUGAGAUACGGCCCAGACUCCUACGGGAGGCAGCAGGGGGGAAUAUUGCACAAUGGGGGGACGCCUGAUGCAGCAACGCCGCGUGCGGGAUGACGGCCUUCGGGUUGUAAACCGCUUUCGCCUGUGACGAAGCGUGAGUGACGGUAAUGGGUAAAGAAGCACCGGCUAACUACGUG